CCGAACUGUCGACACGAGUUGUUGCUGGUCCUCAAAUGUGGGGGCAUGUGCACACUCUGUUUACAAAUCCACUCACACCUGUGCACCUUCAGUAGUUCUGUGGUGUGGAGGACACUGUCCUCCGGCCGUGGUCCUACAUCUUUACACACACACACGGUGAUAAAGUCUAAUGGGAUGUAUGUAGCGUUUAACGCAAUAUAAUA
rnacentral:misc_RNA from 1 species